CUGGCGGCGUGCUUAACACAUGCAAGUCGAACGAAGAGCGAUGGAAGCUUGCUUCUAUCAAUCUUAGUGGCGAACGGGUGAGUAACGCGUAAUCAACCUGCCCUUCAGAGGGGGACAACAGUUGGAAACGACUGCUAAUACCGCAUACGAUCUAAUCUCGGCAUCGAGGAUAGAUGAAAGGUGGCCUCUACAUGUAAGCUAUCACUGAAGGAGGGGAUUGCGUCUGAUUAGCUAGUUGGAGGGGUAACGGCCCACCAAGGCGAUGAUCAGUAGCCGGUCUGAGAGGAUGAACGGCCACAUUGGGACUGAGACACGGCCCAGACUCCUACGGGAGGCAGCAGUGGGGAAUCUUCCGCAAUGGACGAAAGUCUGACGGAGCAACGCCGCGUGAGUGAUGACCGGCUUCUGGGUUGUAAAGCUCUGUUAAUCGGGACGAAAGGCCUUCUUGCGAAUAGUGAGAAGGAU
rnacentral:rRNA from 1 species